rnacentral:tRNA from 1 species
CGGGGAGUGGCGCAGCCCGGUAGCGCAUCUGGUUUGGGACCAGAGGGUCGGAGGUUCAAAUCCUCUCUCCCCGACCA